AACGAACGCUGGCGGCGCGCCUAAUACAUGCAAGUCGAGCGAGAAGACGUAGCAAUACGUUUGUAAAGCGGCGAACGGGUGAGGAAUACAUGGGUAACCUACCCUCGAGUGGGGAAUAACUAGCCGAAAGGUUAGCUAAUACCGCGUACGCUCCUUGGACUUCGGUUCAGGGAGGAAAGCGAUACCGUGGGUAUUGCGCUCUUGGACGGGCUCAUGUCCUAUCAGCUUGUUGGUGAGGUAACGGCUCACCAAGGCUUCGACGGGUAGCUGGUCUGAGAGGACGAUCAGCCACACUGGCACUGCGACACGGGCCAGACUCCUACGGGAGGCAGCAGUAAGGAAUAUUGCGCAAUGGGCGAAAGCCUGACGCAGCGACGCCGCGUGGGGGAUGAAGGUCUUCGGAUU
rnacentral:rRNA from 1 species